GGAAAAAUCCAAGCAAAACCGGCCAAACUUAACCCUCGUGAUCCCGACGUCCAAAUCCUUCCAACGAAGCACUCCGAGAUUCCUUGGGACCUCACUAAGCUCACUAUGAGCUUGGAUUGUCCUAAAAAUCAACCAACAAAAAGUUCAUGAAUAGUGCCAACUCGGACCUCGAGUUUUCAACGUGAAAACGAAGGAUUCCUUACCUGAAAAUGGUGUCUUUGAGUUCGUAGAGUCUUCACGAGCACAAUGGUGCCCUUGGCACCUUCGAUCCGUGAAGUUUCAGGGUUUUGUGGUGAGGUCCGUACAAUUUGAGAGGGAGAGAGUGAGAAACUGAGAGAGUAGUGAGGGAGGAGAGAGAGAGAAGGCACGGGGGAAGGAGGGAGGUCUUGAGCGAGUGUGUGGUCCAACCACAACCAUACAUGCCAAAUUUAAUCCCUACCCACACAAAAUACAAUCCAAAUUUAAUCCAAACUUAUAAAAUUAAUCCAAAUAACGUCACACCCACGUACCUUAAUACCCGCUAAGGGUAAAUUCGCCUUUUCAUGUCCUCGAUGAAUAAAAUCUCGGGACGGGCUGUGACACUAUAUCUGGGAAAAAUUAUACUUGUUUUACAGUGAGGGAUUAGAGCAUUUGAAAGUUAAAUGUGUUUUCAAAACCUUUGUUUUUGCCCACUCACAUUUUCUGUUUUGCGCCCCUCCAGGUUUUAGGUAGACUUGCUGUUGAUGGCAUUGAGGAUCUCGACGGUUCUGAUAGAAUAAAAUAUUUGUAGGACAUCUUCUGGUAUUGUAUAACUAGUACUUGUCCUACUGGACUGCACCUAGACUUUCUAUGCUUUGAUUAGGAGUAUUUACACUUGUAUCUCACUCCUAGCACUUCCUGUUUAUUAGUGCACAUUAGUAGCUUUCGGUUUUUAUUUAUUCGUAUAUUUCUUAUCCUUAUCGCUUCUGCACUAUGCACAUGGCUACGUCACCCUCACGUGACGGCCAGCAUGCCUCGAUCUCGGUCUGGGUGUGUCAUUUUCUGAAAGUCUAGGUUUAUUUAAUUAAGACUUUGAGUUUAUAAUAUUUUAGGUGUAUUUAAUUAAAAAUUGAUUUUAAAGGAUUUCAAAAAGUUGGGGAAUUGGAGAUAUAUCGUAGUGUAUUUUAAGCAAGGUUCUAAAAGACGCUAGGCGUUAGUCGGGCGGUGGGUUGGGGCCAAGUGCCUAGGCACCUAGGCGGGGUCUAGGUGGAUUAGGCGGAUUUAAUUAAAUAUAUUAUAUUUCGUGUAAAUAAGUGUCUGUUUAUACUUAAAAUAUAUAUUUUCAUCAUAAACUACAAAAUGGAAUGACAUAUAUAUUCUGAUCUAUUGGAACAUAAUAAAAACAUGGGGAACAAGUAUAUAAUGUGUGUUCCUUUAAGUAUUCAACAAGUCUCUUACAAUUUAUUAAACAAGUAAAAUGCAAAAUGAAAGUUAUCUAUUUUCAGUCUAAGUGAGUCACAACCUAGGCGGGUGUUUAGGCAGGUCUGUACAGGCUAGGCAGGUGCUUAG
rnacentral:lncRNA from 1 species